rnacentral:rRNA from 1 species
AUACGGAGGGUGCAAGCGUUGUUCGGAUUUAUUGGGCGUAAAGCGAGUGUAGGCGGUUUGACAAGUCGGGUGUGAAAUCCCAGGGCCCAACCCUGGAACUGCACCCGAUACUGUUAGGCUAGAGUCCCGGAGAGGGUGGCGGAAUUCCCGGUGUAGGGGUGAAAUCCGUAGAUAUCGGGAGGAACACCAGUGGCGAAGGCGGCCACCUGGACGGUGACUGACGCUCAGACUCGAAAGUGUGGGUAGCAAACAGGAUUAGAAACCCCAGUAGUCC